rnacentral:lncRNA from 1 species
UAAUUAACGCUUCAGUCAGUGAGUGCCCACCUGAAAAAAAAACCAGGCUUCUUCCCUUUUCCCUUUGUCCUUCAUCAUCUUUGUAGGAUUCAUGAAGAAAAAAAAUUCCAAAAAAAAUUAAAUUUAUCAAACAAAUCGUGCAUCAUAAAAAUCCAAACUCACACAUACAAAUCUCCAAAAUCACAAAAAACAUGUCAAAUUCACAACACCAUUUCCUCUUUGGACUCGUCUCCUCUCCAACACAACAUACACUGAUGUAACAAAUCUCAAUUUUAAUUUUUCUCAACAAAAAAGGAAUCGGAUCAGGAGUGAUGUGUGAAGCAAAAAUUAAACAAUUCUGAGUUUAAUCACAACAAAGCCAACACACGAUUACAAAAUUGACCCAAAUUAAACACAUCCCUUAAUCACAAAAAACAAAUCAGAUUUUGUUAUUGAAGAUGAUAAUUGAAGCAAUUUUGAGUUUGAAAAAAUGAAUCGGAACAAGCCAACACGCGAUUACGAAGUUCGUCGACGAGAAGCACAAGGAUUUAUCUCAAACUUUCCGCAAACUCGUUCUGUUUAAUCUCAAAAAAUUCGUGGCUUCUAGCUUCUGGUAAGCUCCUGAAGGUGAAAAGCUGCUUUUAGUAAGCUCGUGAAGGUUAAUACUCCUUUGAAGAAAGUUGAAGCAUUGUAUGGUGCUAAAAUUACACAUUUUGGACAACUUUGGUUCAUCGUCCAUCGACAGUGGUUUCUUGCUAAUUGAUACUCUCCACUUUUCUCAUUAAUAAUGCUGAUAUGAAUGCGAACAAAGGGGUCUGGAAAGAGAUGAAUCGAAUCUGGGUUUAUUUUUUGUUGCUGGAUUUCUUUUUUGAGGGGUUGUUGCUGGAUUUCUCCAAUUUUUUGUUUGAUUUUGCGGAUUGGUUUUAAUCCUUUUUUUUUAUGUUUCUAUUGUAUUAAUUCCGGGUUUUUCUCAUGAAUGUUGAUGAAUGUGAGUUGAAGAUGAUGAAGAUGGGUAAAGAAAAAAUUAGUUGUUGUUGGUACACCGUAAUUCAAUGGUCAUCUUUUUA